CGUCCUCGCCUCUCCACACGCUCGCCAGGUCCACGUGCCGAGCCGGCCCUGCAGCCCUGUCCCCGGCCUCCGAUGACUCGCCGCGCCCGCCAAGUUCCUGCGUGAGCCUCCUCUGCUCGCUCGCGUGGGCCGCAGCGGCUGCAAGGCCGGUCGUAGCCAGCCAGCCUCGCCUCUGCUCCGAAACCAGGAUCGUCAAGGUCAUCUUCGAGAAUUUUCGCCAAGUACCACGACAUUCGGAGCCCCUUGGAUACGUCAAGUUCGACUACAAAACGUCAAAACGUGUACCACUACCGCCGCCCGAACUUCUACGAACGGUGUACCACGACGAACAUGUACGGCUACAUGAUGACCCGCCAAGACCUCGAACCACUACCAUCGCGAGAACAACUACUUCCACUACCGUCGCCACGUGAACAACUACUUCCUCUACCGACGCCGUGUACAACUACUUCCGACGACGUCCUGUGAACGCCUACUUCCUCUACACCGCUCCGAAUUGCGAACCGUCUCGUUUGAACGCUUCGAAGGUAUAACCCGAAACGACCGCUGUGGACCGAAUGCACGUUGUAUGAGAUGCCCGUGUUUGCACCAUGUCCGAAUUGUCAUUGCAAGUUCCUCCUCGUUUCCAUGCCACAAUCCCGUGGGAACCCGGUAGCCGGGAGCACCCCACCGUCUUGCAUGACUCGCUCACGCCCACUUCUCGUUUGCAUCGUUAUCUCCUCAAGCUACCGGAACCGAUAUGAUGCCGUGGCAUCAUUUUUGGAUAUGUUGCCGUGGCACCAUUUUGUUUCGCCGCCGUGGUACCUUUUUCCUUCCGCCAUGGCGACUAAUGCUUCUUAUCAUGCUCUAUGUCAACAUUUUCAUAAAAUUGCAUAAAACUUGCAUAUGUCAUCCGCAUCAUGAUAACAACAAUUAAAAUGUUUAAACUUGUUGUUGCAUUAAAUUGCUAAAUGCAUAUGAGGAUUUACCGGAAUUGUUGUUCGUUGUUUCCGGCCUCAUUUAAACUUGACUAGAUAUGUAGUUUAAUUAUGCUUCACCCUUUGCCAUGUUUAACAACAUUUAAUAUUGAUUAGUAGCAUAACCGAGAGAGAACUAAAUAAUUGAUGUGGUGUUCCGUCAAUAUGCAACUCGUGCAUAUUGAGCUCCACUUAACUUGUAGUAUUGUUUGUUGCACUUUGCCAUGCCAUGCUUCAUUAAACCGGACAUGCAUCAUACUUGAUUGUGCAUUAUGCCAUGUUUAUGUGGUGGUUGUUUACUAUGUUGUUUGUUCCUUUCCGGGUUGCUUCUCACGUUAGCUUCGGUUUCGUUCCGGAGUUGUGAGGAUUCGUUCGAAUACAUCCGUUUGUCUUCUUCAUGGACUCGUUCUUCUUCCUUGCGGGAUUUCAGGCAAGAUGAUCAUACCCUUGAAAUCACUACUAUCUUUGCUAUGCUAGUUUGCUCGCUCUUUUGCUAUGCCAAUGCUACGAUGCCUACCAUUUGCUUGUCAGCCUCCCAAAUUGCCAUGUCAAACCUCUAACCCACCAUGUCCUAGCAAACCGUUGAUUGGCUAUGUUACCGCUUGCUCAGCCCCUCUUAUAGCGUUGUUAGUUGCAGGUGACGAUUGAAGUUUGUUCCUUGUUGGAACAUGGAGAUGUUGUUCCUUGUUGGAACAUGUUUACUUGUUGGGAUAUCACAAUAUAUCUUACUUAAUUAAUGCAUCUAUAUACUUGGUAAAGGGUGGAAGGCUCGGCCUUAUGCCUGGUGUUUUGUUCCACUCUUGCCGCCCUAGUUUCCGUCAUAUCGGUGUUAUGUUCCCGGAUUUUGCGUCCCUUACGCGGUUGGGCUAUAAUGGGAACCCCUUGACAGUUCGCCUUAAGUAAAGCUCUUCCAGCAAUGCCCAACAUUGGUUUUACCAUUCGCCACCUAGCCUCUUUUUCCCUUGGGUUUCGCGGACUCAAGGGUCAUCAUUAUUUUACCCCCCCCCCCCGGGCCAGUGCUCCUCUGAGUGUUGGUCCGAACUGAGCUGCCUGCGGGGCCACCUCGGGGAAACUUGAGGGUUGGUUUUACUCGUAGCUAGUCUCAUCUGAGUGUGCCCUGAGAAAGAGAUAUGUGCAGCUCCUAUCGGGAUUUGUCGGCACAUUCGGGCGGUGUUGCUGGUUUAGUUUUACCCUGUCGAAAUGUCUUGUUGUACCGGGAUACCGAGUCUGAUCGGAAUGUCUCGGGUGGAGGUCUAUUCCUUCGUUGACCGUGAGAGCUUGUGAUGGGCUAAGUUGGGACACCCCUGCAGGGAUUUGAACUUUCGAAAGCCGUGCCCGCGGUUAUGGGCAGAUGGGAAUUUGUUAACGUCCGGUUGUAGAAAACCCGAAGUUGACCUUAUUUAAAAUACAUCAACCGCGUGUGUAACCGUGAUGGUCUCUUUCCGGCGGAGUCCGGGCAGUGAACACGGUGUUGGAGUUAUGCUUGACGUAGGUUGCUAUAGGAUCACUUCUUGAUCAUACUUUUAUCGACCGUGCUUUGCCUUCUCUUCUCGCUCUCAUUUGCGUAUGUUAGCCACCAUAUAUGCUAGUCGCUUGCUGCAGCUCCACCUCAUUACUCCAUCCUUCCUAUAAGCUUAAAUAGUCUUGAUCUCGCGGGUGCGAGAUUGCUGAGUCCCCGUGGCUCACAGAUACUUCCAAAACCAGCUUGCAGGUGCCGAUGAGCCCGUGCAGAUGACGCAACCAAGCUCAGGAGGAGCUCAUUGAAGAUCUUGUCCUUUGUGUUGUUUCCGUUCUAGUUGAUCAGUAGUGGAGCCCAGUUGGGGUCGAUCGGGGACCUUUGUCGCAUUUGGGGUUCUUCUUUUAUUUUGGUUCCGUAGUCGGACCUUGAUUGUAUCUGGAUGAUGUAAUGCUUUAUUCAUGUAAUUGUGUGAAGUGGCGAUUGUAA
rnacentral:lncRNA from 1 species